CCAUUGUGCACAGUUAAAAUUUAUUUUUCUCCGCUCAUUUGGAAAGAAAGCAAGAGACAUGAAACUUAUAUUCCCUUUAAUCUUAUGUAUUUGUCUCGUAACGGCAGCAGAAAGAAUGGUACUAAAUAACACUACCAUUGCUUCUAAUGCUGCUUUUAUAUCUAGACGAAGUAUGAGAUGUCAAACAGUUAAUCAUCGUGGCCAAUGCAUUGGUGGAAGCUCUAAAUAAAACGAAUAUAGAAAAAUAUAGAGGAAAAUUAACACUUAAUAUGAUGACAACAUUAUGAUCGAUAAUCACUUCGUUGGAAUUUUGACUUCGAACAAAAAUAAUAGACAUAAAUAUAAAACUGCAAUGGUUAUUGGACGUUGAGGAAAUAAUAAAUUUAGACUUUAAUAAAAUUGAGUGAUCUCAAACAUGCAAUACUCUCGAAGCUAACCUUUAAUUUUUAAUAUAAUAUAAUAGUCUACCUGAUUUUUGGUGGGCAAACACUGGACCUGAAUAUAGUACUGGACGAACAAUUUCGGCAUUUCGUUUAGAGAAAGAAGAUACAUACUUAUAAAAUUGUUGAAAAAUAAUGCUAAAAUAUAUAUAUAUGUAAAUAAAUUGGUGGUUAUGUUAUUAUGGAUGGUCUAGCUCAACAUCGUGUAAUGGCCAUGUAUGACAAAAAUUCAAACAAAAACAAAAACAAAUUCUCCUUUAACUCAGAAAACAUUUGAAAUUCCGAAGAAGAUUGCAAAAGAAUAAUUACACGAUAAUUAGCAAUUUAACUGCAUACGACACUGAAAUUCUCAUAAGAAGAUUAGACUAGUAAAAGUGUUAUUUUCUAGGAACGAAAAAUUGAAAUCGCUCUCAGCGUCCGGUCAAAAUUUUUCAUCAGUGGUAAGGCACUUGCUCAACAAAUUCAUCUUCAGCUUCUCAAAGACGAAUUGAAUCUUGCUUAUUAUGUAUAAUAUAUGAAUACAUUGAAAAAGCUAUCUUUUUUCUCGAUAUUGGGCCAAACCAAUGGAGAGAUCGAAUUAUUUCCAUUCCUCGAAACACUUUUUGAGAUGGCCUUCAGCUCCUUCAGCAAAUUUUGUUUUAUCUCUUCGAUCGACUGUUUCCAUUUCGAUGAUUGUUGAGUUGCUUGCAUGUCAAGUACCUAAACUCAUGUCUCAUCGGCAGUUAUAAGUAAUAAUUAUAUGAAUUUCGGAUCGUAAUUCGAACGAUCAAGCAUGUCCAAAGAGACCUGUUUACGGCCAAAAAAAUCCAGCUUUAUCGGGACUAGUUGAGUAAGAACGUGUUUUAUACCAAAAAUAUUCACCAAAAUCAUUCGAACGAACUCAGAACAAAAAUCGGCUCCACAUUUAUCAUGUAGCUCCCGCAAAUAAAUCUGAACGUGGACUAGUACUGUGGAAGAAAAAGAGCAAUGAGGAAACACAGGUCUGGAACUGUUUUAAAGCAGUAGUGCAUGAUGUCCGUGGAAAUCAUAGAGCUGACAGUUAUGACGUGCUGAUCAAGGACAUGAAUACGAAUUUCUUUCGUCAUCGGAAGAGCAAUGUCCCUAAACAAAAAUUUAAAGAUAGUAUGGCAGUUUAUUUGGAAGAACAAAGAAAAUGCUUCCAAAGCCAGAGUAAAUUCUAAAAACUAUUACAGGAUAAUGGAUACCUUUUUUUGUUUUGGGCUGCUCAAUUGGCUACAAGGAUCGUGUGAUAUCACAACGUUACACUUUUUCUGUGUGGAUAUGUAAAGUAUAAAGUCUAUCCGGACAAUCCCGCUUCGAUUCAGACCUUGGAGCAAAACAUCACCCAUGUCAUUCGACAGUUACCACUCGAUAUGCCCGAUCGUUCACAAAAUAAAUCCACGGAUGGGAAUUUUCAAACAAAUUACCUCAUGCACACGGAUAAUAUGGCCUUAGCCAGUAGACCCCGGUUGGGAUGCCAACAUUUUGAUCAUCGCGGCCGGUGUGUCGAUGAAGAAGCUAGACCAAAUUUGUUUCUAAGAAAUAACUACUAAAAUGCAAGGGUAACUGUGUAGAAUUAAAAAAUCAUACGGCGAACGAACUAAACUUACUUCGAUAUAUAUACUUACUUAUAAAUAUACGCAAAUAGAGAAUAUAUAAGUAAUACAAAGUGCGUUCCAUAGUAAAGAGGACUUUUUGAAUCUAGCGUUCCUUUGUGGAACCAUCUAUACUGGUGACAAUUACAUGACGUUUUAUCGAUUGGAAGUGAAGUUAUUGCGUUUUAAGUGUCAGUAUGUUUGUGUUAUAGGUGCGAAAAUGAGCUUC
rnacentral:lncRNA from 1 species